rnacentral:rRNA from 1 species
UACGUAGGGUGCAAGCGUUAAUCGGAAUUACUGGGCGUAAAGCGUGCGCAGGCGGUUUUGUAAGUCUGUCGUGAAAUCCCCGGGCUCAACCUGGGAAUUGCGAUGGAGACUGCAAGGCUAGAAUCUGGCAGAGGGGGGUAGAAUUCCACGUGUGAGCAGUGAAAUGCGUAGAGAUGUGGAGGAACGACCGAUGGCGAAGGCAGCCCCCUGGGUCAAGAUUGACGCUCAUGCACGAA